rnacentral:rRNA from 1 species
AGAACGAACGCUGGCGGCACGCCUAACACAUGCAAGUCGAGCGCCCAGCAAUGGGAGCGGCGGACGGGUGAGUAACACGUGGGAAUAUGCCUUUCGGUACGGAACGACUCAGGGAAACUUGAGCUAAUGCCGUAUACGCCCUUACGGGGAAAGAUUUAUCGCCGAAAGAUUAGCCCGCGUCUGAUUAGCUAGUUGGUGAGGUAAUGGCUCACCAAGGCUUCGAUCAGUAGCUGGUUUGAGAGAACGACCAGCCACACUGGGACUGAGACACGGCCCAGACUCCUACGGGAGGCAGCAGUGGGGAAUCUUGGACAAUGGGGGAAACCCUGAUCCAGCGAUGCCGCGUGAGUGAUGAAGGCCUUCGGGUUGUAAAACUCGUUUCGACGGGGACGAUAAGUGACGGUACCGUAGAAGAAGCUCCGGCUAACUUCGUGCCAGCAGCCGC